rnacentral:rRNA from 1 species
UACGGAGGGUGCAAGCGUUAUCCGGAUUCACUGGGUUUAAAGGGAGCGUAGGUGGGUUGGUAAGUCAGUGGUGAAAUCCCCGAGCUUAACUUGGGAACUGCCAUUGAUACUAUCAGUCUUGAAUAUGUGGAGGUUAGCGGAAUAUGUCAUGUAGCGGUGAAAUGCUUAGAUAUGACAUAGAACACCCAAUUGCGAAGGCAGCUGCUACACA